rnacentral:lncRNA from 1 species
AGGUAUGAUUGCAAUAAAGGCCAAGCUGCCUAUGCUGAGUGUCAUGUUUGAAGCUCAAGGAAGCAUAAAUCCCCAACUGUUGUGAAUAAAGGUAGAUUUUGAAGGUCAGGACCUUCUGUGUAUUUGGCAAUUAAAUCAACCUUUUGAACUUCAUUGUCCCUCCAUACUGUUUCUGCUACAGCACUCAUGGUCUGGAACUGAGGGUGAUAACAGGUGUAACAGCAAAUGUGUGUUAAAACCACACCUAACACUGUUAAAUUGUGGUCUUUACCAGAGAAAACAAUUUAUUUAUUUAUUUAUUUAGCAUAGUAGCUUAAUAUCUAAGAGACAGCUAACUUUCACACUCUUUCUGUCCAUACGUUUUAUGGAGAAGGGGAACAUAUGGCCUGUCUCCCCUACGCAUUAGGAGAUGAAUAUUAAAACUGAAAAUGUAAGCUGUUUCAAGUCAUAGCCUUUCAUAAUAUAAGGUUUUUUGUUUUAAAUUCCUUGCUGGUAUAAUGUGUGUGUUCUCUCUCUCUUUCUGUGUGUGUUUAGUGUAUUUGGCUGUUACAUUCUAGAGUGGUGACAUUUAUGGGAAGUGAAUCUAUUAAAUUCUUUAUAAUGAAUAGCAUGUAACAGUGAAACAUAUACGUUUUACUCAUUUUACCUUCCUCUGGGAGACUAAGGCAACAUUUUGGCAAGUAGGAGUAAACAGCUUUGUGUUGGCAUGCAGUAAAUUAAACCGAGUAAUUAAAAUCAAUAGCAAAACAGUAGCUAGGCAGAAAGGUCAUAUAGCACAGCAGAAAAUGUUGGGUAGCAUAUUGCUCCAAAAUCAAAAUAAAUUCCUCAACUUUUAAUUUUUCUUUACAUGUCUAAAAUAAUUCUUAAUAUUCAUGAGGGAAAUUGACACAUCACAGGGCUUCCUUUCUAAAUCCACACUGCCCAUAUGAGUGCCCUUUCUGUGGUGGCACCCUGGUUUUGAGUAGUAUCACUAUAGAUGACUUGUGUAGUAACCAGCGUUGUAGCUAGCCACUCGGGUGCCCAGUGUGUGCGCGUCCUGCAGCCAGGGGUAGGGCAAACUACCCAUGGGGGUGGGGCAAGCUGCCCAUGGGGGCGGGGCGAGCCAACGCAGGGUGCGCUGUGUGGAGCCUCUCCGCAGCCUCCCCCUCAGAUAUAGGGUGGCUGAGGCGGUGGGCAGAUGCAAGCCCCACGCUGCUUGAAAAAGCAGCUGACUCCGAGUAUAUUUCAGCGCAGAGCUUGCAGGCAGCCCGCCUGCUACCUCCCCUCAGGAGAGACGCAUGGCUCAGGCACGCUGCAGGUGUGGUGCCUGCUGCCUCACCUAGCUACCAGUGAUGUAGGAAGGGGGGGUACAUUGGGUGCGGGGUUAUUUUUUAAAAAAAGUGUCAUGAGCCCAUUUUUUUUUUUAACCUUUAAAACACAUAUUUUUGCCAUUUUGUCACCCCCCUCAGUGAUAACACCCGGGGCGAUCCGCACCCACCACACCUCUAUUCCUACACCACUGGUGGUAAACACUUGUCUUUUCAGUGUCAGAUGAAGGCCUUUUUCUUUUCAGAUAAAAUCUUUUGUUGAUGGUUUUAUCUGAAACCUGCAGAAGGGGCUUCCAUCCUGCCAGUUCCAUCAAAUUCAGGAUUACCAAUGAUGUGCUUUACAGGGAGCUGGAUUUAGGUACUGGGCCUAUUGGCAGACCAACUCUACUUUCUAAAAAUGUCUGCAAACAUAACAUGAAGGCUGGAAACAUUAACCCUUCUGCGUGGGAAUCCUCACCUGGAGACAGUCAGGUUGUGUAUCCACAGCAGUGACCAGAGGAGAAUUGACUGCUGGGAGGAGCACAGAGAGAAGAAACACCAUGAUGCACCUAUAGCAUCAAAACAGGAUGCCUUCAUCUGCCCCAAUUGCAACAAAACAUGUCUCUCCCAUAUUGGUCUCCACAGCCACAGCGGAUGCUGUAACUCUCCAACAGUUUGACUUUAGCCCUGAUGGCACACUCUUCCCUUGUCUCUCCAAAGAGGCGGAUGCCAACAUGGGACAGCAAAGAAAGCAACUAGAGUACUGCAUUAUAAACCUGUGUAGCCAUCAUUGAAAUUCCAUCUUGGUAGUUAGCACAGAAAAUAUUUCAACAAAAUCUUGUCACAAUACAAGACUGAGAGAACAUUUGAUAUACACAGUGUAGCCCACAACAGCAACAAAUAUGGAACUUUGUAUGGUGUUGGAAGCUUUCACAUACAUAUAUUACAGCCCACAUUUUAGACAUUUGUAUAUUUAACUUGAUAGCUGCAUGAAUUAUACAUCAGGUACUUUCUCAAACAUUUUAUGUAAGUGUAUUGACAAAUGUCCUUUAGUUCUUGAUGAGAUGCAUGGUAGUGUUGCAACAUUUUAAGACAAUUUGCUUAUAAGUUUUCUCCCAUAUGCUGCUUUUCCUUGAUUACAUCUGCCUCUUUAUUUGGUUAAACAAAAACAGCUAUGGAUCUUUCCCACAAUCCCACAGAACAAUAUUGAAAUGCUCUCUUUACUACUCAUAGAAUUGCUGUAUUGGUACAGUUCGGAAACGGGCCAGCAGGAUGCAUAUGGUCCUUGAAAAGCUCGUUUUCAACCCAUAGAAUGUCAGCUUCUGAGUGAGACUGAUUUCGUUCCAUUUUCUGAGGAUCCAAAGAUAGGCCAGCAGAAGAAAUUCUGCUGAGGUUUUGCAAAGCGCUGCACAAGAGCUAGCAGAAUACUUUGCACAGCAUAGACUUAGCACAAAUCCAUAUACUGAGACAUGGUGGAAGAACCUCUGCAUGCCUUUUGACUUGCAGAAGAGGCCAUCCCCUUUCCUGCCCUCAACCCCUGGGCAACCAGUGGAAUGGGAAAAGCUCACAUCAGGUGUCACAGAGCAUGCUGGUCAGCAAUCACACAGUUCAGAGUGGGAGUUAACUAUUUGCAAAAACACAGUCUCCACAGUCUUGACCGUCAGGCCUAAUGAGCACAGCAGGUCCUGCUCCAUGAAAUCAGUUGCCGAGAUUGAAAGUCUCCACCUCCCCAUAGGCAUUUAAGUCCCCUCCUCUCCAGGGCUUCCCCUACGCAGUUGGAGAGAGACUUCGCCUGCAUGCAGCCUAUUGCUGCUCUGCUUGUUUCUGGGUAAUGGGAGGGGAAGGGGAGCUUGUUGCAGCAGGAGGGGGAGACACCCAUGACACUUCACCAUCUCUGCCUCUUGGCCUUCCUCCCCCAAUCACCUACUUCAGCUUCUGCCUCUUAUUCUGGACUUAUGUCUGCCAUAGACCAUCUCAGCUUGCUAAACCCUGUUACCUCUUCAGCUUCUGACACCUCCUCUUCCCCUUCUCCCUCUGACCACUCAUCAUUUUCCCACCACCACUGCCUGGGCUCUGAGCCUUCUUCCCUUGGUGGUUCCCCAGCUUCUACCUCCCACAGUCAUCCACGUCCAACCAUCAGGUUGCCAAGGAACGACAAGGGCGACAAAUGCAGUGCUGAGUUGAAAGAGGUCACAAUCUUGUUGUUUCCAGGUUCCAUGGAAUUUGGCAUACAGCAUGUAGGAAUACUGCAUUGUAGUUGACAAUCGAACUGCUUAUAGGGGGCACUAAACUGACUCUUCCUGCUGGGUAACCCUGGGCAUUUAUGCUGUGGGGUAUUGCAAGGUUCCAUUGUAUUCCUCAUACUUUUUUUUUGUAUUCCUCAUACUUUUAAACAUCUAUAUAAAGCCAUUGGGAGAGAUCAUCUGAGAUCUGGAAUGAGGCUCUCAGUUAAGAAUUUAAGAAGAGCCUGCAGGAUUAUGCCAGUGGUCUAUUUAGUCCAGCAUCCUGUUUUCACAGUGGCCAACCAGAUCUGUAUAGGAAAGCCUGAGUAAGACCUGAGUACAAGAGCAUGCUGCCACUUGUGAUUCUUAGCAAGUGUUAUUCACUGCCUAUGGCAGUGGAGGCAGAACAUAGUCAUCAUGGCUAGUAGUCCAUGAUAGCCGUAUCCCCCAUGAAUUUGCCUAAUCCUCUUUUAAAGGCAUCCAAGUUGGUGGUCUUCACUACUUCUUGUGGCGCUAACUCCAUAGUUUAAUUGUACACUGUGUGAAAGAAGUACUUUUUUGUCAGUUCUGAAUCUUCCAGCAGUCAACUUUAUUGGAUAUUCCUGAGUUCUAGUGUUACAAGAGAGGGUGAAACUUUCCUCUGUUAACUUUCUCAACAACAUGAAUAAUUUCAUACAUCUCGUAUGCCUUCUCUUACACACUUCCCCCCCUAAACUAAUGCCCCCUGCCAUUGUUGCAAUGUUAUAAGGGUGUUGCUCCACCUUGCUUUAUAAUUUUGCUUGCUCUUUUAUGAACUGCUUCCAGUUCUACAGUAGCGCUGGCAUGGCUGGCAACCAGUGCCUAUAGUAUUGUUGGGUCUCUGGACCGUAAUAAAGAUUGAUGAUAGUAUUCUGUCCUAGUUAGUACUCACAGUUCAUUGAGACUACUUAAAGGGUUCUAAGAACUAUGUAAAUAAUACUGCUCCUGCUUACUCCUGCGUGGAGCUUUGCCCAUAUUAAAACUCUAGGCACAGGCUGCAGAGGAGUAAUUUUCAUCUUGGUAGCCCUGCUCCUUAGCUAUCCAGUUCUAAGACGAUUGGCUGGGUGCAGUGGGCCUCUCCAGCUGCAGGCAGAACCAGCCACAAGCCCUACAGCAAAGUAAAUAUAUGAAGACACUGAGUGAGCAUGCUAACUUCUAAGUAUUUGCCAUUUGAGGCCUGAAUAUAUAGAGCAAUGUUUAAACAUUAACAAAUAACAAGUUUCUCAUGUAAAUGCUCUUUCUAAUCAAGAUCCUUUGCUAGUAACAGAGAACUGUUAAUUGUAGUGGGAGUAAGAUUUGACCAUAACUCUGGGAGACAAAUAAAAAAUGUAUGUUAAGUACAAUGCAGGGCAAUUCUUGUUUAACUAAAAAGCCCAUGGGAACAUCCAAAUUGAAAAGUGAGAGUAAGUUAAGAGAAUGGCAGGUAAUUGCAUCCCCGUCUCCCUCUGCAAUGUUUUAUCACUGUAUGAAAGGGAAUCUGAUGGAGCGAGAGAUUGUUUUACAUGCUAGAGGGAAAUGUGAAUCUGUAAAACAGGAUGCAUCAGUAAAUAUUCAUGCAACAUCUUUGCUUUUGUGAAGCUGUUAAUACAGAAGAAAAUCUCCCUUCUAAACUGUUGUGCUCUUGUUUUACAAAUUACCAACCUCUUGAUGUUAAUGGGCAGAGAUGGGGGGGCGGUUAUUAUGCAGUGUAAGUACCUCUUUGUCACCCUCCACUGACAGAGAAUAUAUUGGUGGUAGAGGUUGUUCUAUGCUGUGAUGACGGUCCAAGCUGCACCCAAUCAGGUGGGUAGCUAUCACUGGUGGUCCUUUUGUCAGCAGUAGCCCUGAAGUGGUGUGGUACUGUGUGGCAGGUGAGGGCAGCUGGAUACACUUGCUCCAGGCCUCAGAGGGCUAAACUGGCUCCACCAGAGACAGGCUGUUUUUUGUUGUUGUUGUUGUUGUUUUGCAUUUAACACUAUAUUCUAACAAGACAUCUGCCUUGGGCCUCAGACAAACUCUGCAUGGGCCUAAGUUGUACCAACGAAUCCAGAGCUCUGUUGAUCCUCCAAGAGACCCAAUUCUCAGGUCCCUCGGCUGUGUCAGUCCUAUUGCUGGUGCAGUAAGAAGCAACAAAAAAACCACCACCACACCUUCUGUCCUGACUGGAAGGAGCUAGCAGGGUUUUAAAUACAGUGGUGAUUCUGCUACUCUCAUAUUCCCUCAUCCAGUUACGAUUGUUCUGCUCCAUUUUGUUUAAAAUCUUUGCAAUCUUUUGGUACCAGGUUAUAGGGCAGCAUACAAAUGUCAUAAACAUCAUAUCCGGUUAAUACCACAUCUACCAGUUUGAAGAGCAAUGCAAAAUUAUCAUUACGGACAAUUUAGACUGGAAUUCUAAACACACACAAACUGUGGUCAUUUGUUUGCUCGGGGGUACUUUUUACCUUUGCUAGAGGAUAGUGUUCACUCAGGUUAUUUGUGAACCAUAUUCUACUCUAGAUCAGUGUUUCACAGAUUUGGAUCUCCAGCUGUUUUUUUGGACUACAACUCCCAUCAUCCCUGAUCUAGAGUCCCAAGUCUAUGAAAGCUGCUCUAGUUGAAGGGAACUGGAGGGGGGGGGACCAAGAAUCAGAGCUGUCUGAAAGACACCCCCCAUCACUUAUAGUUUUGUCAUUUUGUCCCAUUUCAGUACAGUGGUACCUCGGGUUAAGUACUUAAUUCGUUCCGGAGGUCCGUUCUUAACCUGAAACUGUUCUUAACCUGAAGCACCACUUUAGCUAAUGGGCCUCCUGCUGCUGCCGCACCGCCAGAGCACGAUUUCUGUUCUCAUCCUGAAGCAAAGUUCUUAACCUGAAGCACUAUUUCUGAGUUAGCGGAGUCUGUAACCUGAAGCGUAUGUAACCUGAAGCGUAUGUAACCGAGGUACCACUGUAUACCCUUUCAUUUUGCAUUGCUUUCAAUGGGAGACCCAGCUGCAUUUCUGCUGUCUAUACUUCUGCAUGAAUUUUUCAAAUCAGCAUGAAUUUUUCAGGCAUUCUUGUUCCUCCUAGGAAUUAUACUUGCCAAAUUUCAAAUCAAUAGGGAAAAGGGGUCCGUUUUAAAGCAGUGUUCAGAUCAGUGUAACUAAUAAAUCAGAGUUGAUCAGAGUAACUAAUAUUGCUCUCUCAAGUACGAACUACAAGUAAUUAACUAAAGGGAAUGUGAAAGUUAGGCUAGCACAAAGUGGAAUGAUUUGAAAAUGCUUAAAUAAAUGCAAGAAGCAUUUGAGUGUGAACUCUUCUUUCACAAAGACAAAAAGCAGAUGAGAGAAACCUGUAAACGCUCACUCUCCAAGGAGAAAGAGUUCACAGAAAUCUAAGCCAACCUCCUCACCUCUUGUUUAUACUUUCCCAAGUUCUCCCCCUCUCACAACUGUGAUUUGAGGUUUCCAUAUGGAAAUAAGGUAUAUCAGAAUGUUGGACACUUGUUAAAAUGUGUUCCAAAUUACAUUGUUAAUCUUCCUUUCCCCAAAUAUGCUUUCUCCCCAGUCCCUGUAUAAUGGAUUCAUCUGACCUAUUCUUGACGAGGGGAUGACUUAGAAUGAGUAUAAAAUGAGCAAUGAAUGAAUAUAUGGCAUUAAAUAAUCAUAGAAUACAUCCAAUUGUGCACCACCAGAAAGAGGUAUUGGUCAGCGUGUUCAUCUGCAGAACAUCUGGGGUCAAUGGAAGUCAUGGGAGUGGCAGGGAUACAGUUCAGCAAGGGCUACAAGAUGGUAGGGGGUUUACAGAGUCCAAUGUCUUACUG